rnacentral:rRNA from 1 species
UACGAGGGGGGCGAGCGUUGUUCGGAAUUAUUGGGCGUAAAGGGCGCGUAGGCGGUUUGGUAAGUCUUAUGUGAAAUCUACAGGCUCAACUUGUAGUCUGCAUGAGAAACUGCCGGGCUUGAGUAUGGGAGAGGUGAGUGGAAUUCCUGGUGUAGCGGUGAAAUGCGUAGAUAUCAGGAGGAACACCUGUGGCGAAAGCGGCUCACUGGACCAUAACUGACGCUGAUGCACGAAAGCUAGGGGAGCAAACAGG